AAAAUUUGGAUUAUGAAAAAUAUUAUCGUUAUUACGUGUUAACAACAACACCAUCUUCCGAAUCAGAGUUUCUGACUCAAAUAAGUGAAUUGUCUCCGUCAUAUGUGACAAAGCCCUACCUUCUUUGGAUUAUUGGAGUGGUGAUACCUAUUCUCGUGAUCAUUGCUGCUGUAUUAGGUUUCUUGUAUUACAGGCGUCGUAAACAAAAUAAGAAAAAGAAUUCCGAAUUUGGCGUACCGUUACCUGAAC